rnacentral:lncRNA from 1 species
AUGUUGUGUGAAGUUUUUGCAGAAGUCUGUUACAUGGAGAAUCGUGGUCUGACAGUGAGGAUGGACUCAAUAAUACAUCGCUUCUUCAUGUCUCUUUACAGGUCACUUCUUUCUGAAAGGAGCAGAGUCAAACAUAGCUCCGCAUUUCUGGAUGACAGUGCUACAACCUGUUGCAAUGAAAGCAGGCUGUCAUUUUCACCUGUCCAUUUAGUCUACCCACCAAAUACCAGAGCUUAAGAAAGAACAGAGAAGACACCCAAAUUCAGGACCAUUGAAGGUCUUCUAGUGUUAGAACCUUUCAAAAUUGUCCUAGAUCAUUUCUGAAUAACUGUAUUGGUACAGCUGUAAAAAAAAGAAGGGAGUAAAACCAUAUCUGCAGAUAAUUCCUGUGAUCUAAUAAUCAAUCACAUUAUAGCAAAGUUAAUGCUGCUGUUGCCUUUUUCAACUUCAGAAAAUCGUGUGUUGCUGGAC